rnacentral:rRNA from 1 species
CUACGGGCUGCUGCAGUAGGGAAUUUUCCGCAAUGGACGAAAGUCUGACGGAGCAAUGCCGCGUGAAGGAUGAAGCCCCUCGGGGUGUAAACUUCUUUUCUGGGGGACGAUAACAGACGGUACCUCAGGAAUAAGCAUCGGCUAACUACGUGCCAGCAGCAGCGGUAAUACGUAGGAUGCAAGCGUUAUCCGGAAUUACUGGGCGUAAAGCGUGUGCAGGCGGUCUAGUUAGUCAAUCGUUAAAUCCCGACGCCCAACGUCGGAAUCGCGAUUGAUACUGCUAGACUAGAGUAGAAGAGAGGAAAACGGAAUUCCCGGUGUAGCGGUAAAAUGCAUUGAUAUCGGGAGGAACACCAGAAGCGAAGGCGGUUUUCUGGCUUCUAUCUGACGCUAAGACACGAAAGCUAGGGUAGCGAAAGGGAUUAGAUACCCGUGUAGUC